AGAAGACCGUGCCUCAUUUCAUCCCAAUUCCAGCUCUCCCACAAGCCUCCCUUCCAGUCGAGCCACCUCCGGUCGCAAUUUGAACAUCGAAGAGCACCACUCAAGCCGGCGCACUCAGUUUCCCUCGAUUUCAGCUCUCUAAAACCCCUCUCACGCAGUUGAUGACACACCUACCAUCUUCCUCGACGGCCUCCCACCUCCAAUCACAGUAUAAACUCCCACGACUUUGACACCACUCGCUGCGGUCGGAUGCUCGAGAAAUGGGAUUGAUUUCGGCUUAACUGCGGUCUUCAUUACGAUGUGGUUCGGGCAUUAUUCUGCGGCCUCCAGCUAGCGUUUUCAUUGCAAGAGUCGGAGAUUAGAAGCACGCCAUUAUACGUAAGUUACUGUAAUUUUUGCAUGUUUUCCAAUAUUGCUGUAUUCUUGGCCUAGCAUUUGUUCUGUAUGUCUAAUUGAUUCUGGACUGGAAGCACGCUAUUUUCCAUUAGAGAUUCUCGACAUUAUAUUGCUUGUUCUAUGGUUGAGUUGAUUUUGUUAUUAACCGUUAAUUAUAUGAUUCUGGACUGGACUCUUGAAUUUCAAUUAGAGAUUCUCGACAUUAUAUUGUGUG
rnacentral:lncRNA from 1 species